rnacentral:misc_RNA from 1 species
GGGAAUGGCAGAUUGUUUUGAAGCAAUUGGGGAAGUGGAUGAGUUUCUAUUUGAAGAAAAGAGUUGAGUCAAAUAAAAACCAGAUUGGUAACCAAGAGAUUCAAAAGUAUGCCUCAUUCUCAGCACAAAGUGCAGAUCUUCUGGUAUAAUCUUGCAGGAACCAAGUUGAAGGAGGCCAUGUCCAGCUUGAAUAACAGCAAUGGUUUGAAUUCCUGAAUCAAACUGAUCAGUCCACUCAGGAGG